UAAAAAAAAACAAGGAAAGAAAAAAGGGGAACUUUGUUUUCCAUUUCCCCCAAUUUCACGAAGAAACCCCUUCUUCUUUCUUUUUCUUCCUCUUCCAAUCGCACGAUUCCCCUUCUCCAUCGCAUGUCGUCAAUUCCCCACAAUGGUCUCACACAGGUUGUCGAUUCCCCUCUUCCACUAGGCUCCUCCGUUCGGUGAUAACUCAAGGUGGUUAUUGCGGUAAAGGCUUCUCUGUCUGAUUCUUCUUUGCAACGUUCUUUUCUUCACAAUCAUCUCACUCAUAUCAAAACCCUCCUUCGUCCCCCAUCAUUGUGCCCUCUCUCAGCCACUGCCCUCUCACUCUCCAAAUCGCCGGUCAUCUCCUACCUUCGUUGUCGAUGGCGGUCUUUUAGAGUUUUCAAAUCGAGAGAAAAAAUAAUUAAUUCGAUCAUGACAUUGGAGAAGGCUAAAGAGAUUGUGGCUUCUAAUCUCGUCAUGGUCUUCAGCAAGAGUUAUUGUCCAUUCUGCCGUCCAGGUGAAGAGAUUGUUGACUAAACUAGGAGUCAGUUUGAAGGCUAUUGAAUUGGACACUGAGAGUAUGUAAUAUAUGUUUCUGUGUUCUAUUGCUUGCGGAUUUAGGUUCCGUGACAAUUUCAUUGUUUUUCUUUUGUAGCCAAUCGGUGAAAUCAUGAUUACUUUGUGAUUUUCAGAUUUUGUAAUUUAACUUGUUUGUGUAUGUUUACAAAAAUAUUUAUUUUUUGAUGCAUAUUCUUGUUCUGAUUCUUUAAGAUAAAGGAAAACUUUCAAAAUGAGAACUCUAAGCAUUACUCUCUGAUAAAUAUUUGGAAUUUCACAAGAGUAAUUCAUUCUAACAUUUUUUACUAUUUUGUUUCUUUCAUAUGGUAUAUUGUUUUUCUUCGUAUUUGGAGACAUGUAAGUUUUAUCUAAUUAUGACAUAUGAUUAACUAAUAAAAAAACUUGUUCACAUAUCCACAUCCCAAUGUUCGCCCUCCCUCUCUCAAGAAGUUUAUAUAAUGAGGUUUGUUUAUAUUGUUAUUAACACCAUUCUAGAAUAUGAGUUUUAGGCUAAACAUGUAAUCAUCACAAAAAGGUUGGGCUUAGAUAUUUAUAUCUCCUUACGCUAGAUUCCAAGUGUUCAUUUUUUAUGCAAGAUACAACUACUUAGGAUAAGUAAUGCAUGAUGAAGUAUGUUACUAUUAUACUAAAGUCUGGUGUCUAAUUUUGCAAAAAAGUUCGACACAAAAAUGUUGUUUAAUUCAUUGGUGCUUGUACUAAACCUCCAAACCUCUGUAUUGUAACAAGUUUGGAAGAAUCUAUUGGAGCAGUGAAGCUAACUUGGAGCAAGUGAUUGAUAUAAUAUUUUUUGUAUGAUUGGUAGCAAAAUAUUGAUUCCAAUGUACUGAUUUUAGGCUUGUUGGUAGCUAAAGAUGUCAAUGUUUAUUCUUUUUGUAUGUAAACUACCUUUUAACACAAAAUGGUUAUUAGUCAAUGGGUAUAUGAAUAUUACAAAGUGUAUUAUAGCGUAUAUAUAUUAAAGUGUCGACUAUUUGUUUCUA